rnacentral:rRNA from 1 species
UACGAAGGGUGCAAACGUUGCUCGGAAUUAUUGGCGUAAGCGCACGUAGGCGGCAUCGCAAGUCCCAUGUGAAGCCACGGCUUAACCGUGGAAGUGCAUGGAACUGCAGUGCUUGAGUACUUAAGAGGAUCGCGGAAUUCCGGUGUAGAGGUGAAUCGUAGAUAUCGGAGGACACAGUGCGAAGGCGCGAUCUGGAGAUACUGACGCUGAGUGCGAAGCGUGGGAGCAACAG